AGUGAUGUGAAGCGAAACUCAAAAAAGUAAGUCUCAGUUCGGAUUGAAGGCUGAAAUUCGCCUUCAUGAAGCCGGAAUUGCUAGUAAUGGCAGGUCAGCAUACUGCCGUGAAUACGUUCCCGGGCCUUGUACACACCGCCCGUCACACCAUGGGAGUUGGUAACACCCGAAGUCAGUAGCCUAACCGCAAGGAGGGCGCUGCCGAAGGUGGGAUCGAUGACUGGGGUGAAGUCGUAACAAGGUAGC
rnacentral:rRNA from 1 species